AUGCCAGCUGAUCACGGAUCACCUUAUUGCCCCGCUUCACUCCACUCCACUCCAUUUCCCUUCGGUCAAGUCCUCGUUUCUGCCUGCCAAGCAUCUUCUAGGACUUGCGCUUCAUCUGUGGUGACGCCCAGGCAUCAUCUUCUUGCACUCUUCGUCGCCAACCUUGGUCCAGCUGUUCGGAUGGCUGGGAGAGAAGCUGACUUCCGCUGGAUGGAAGUACAGUAUAUCAACUUCUAUUCCCUGUUCAUGGCGUACUUGUUGAUGGCCGUUAGGGGGCUGGGCUACCUCGUGCUUGCGUGGACCACCGUCGUUCUCUUAGGUGGCUUCGUCAGCAAGCUGGAAAAGAAGGACUUUUGGUCUCUCACAGCCAUUACCCUCGUCCUAACUCCUCGGGUCUCUGCUGAUGUCGAUCUGAAGGGGAAGUUAAAAUAUAUCGUGGAAUCGGUGGUUGGACUCUACCGUGCUAUAUUUGCCACACUGAACCCAAACGGUAUCAAUGACCCCUGGCUAAGCCGACUGCUAGCAGGUGUUGUGUUGUUAUGUCACCUGCUGCUCGCCCCGAUUGUGGUAUGCCCUCUAGCGGCUCUCUACGUGUGUGGGCCACUGCUGAGCGCCGGGAUUUCGGUGUGGCGUCUAAUAGAACGUGAUUACGGAGUUGAGAAGAAGCAAGAAGCUGACAACUUGCAGCCGGCUCUGAUCGUCUUGUACUCACUGGCCACGUUGCAGGGACUGCUCUUUUGUUACAGGUUCUACUCGUCUUUUGCCCGAGAGGACCUAGUGAAGGAUGUGGCAGAAGCGUACAAGAUGAACGAUGUCAAUUUGGUGGAUGAAUACUUGAGGGAUACCAUGGCUGAGUGCGAGAAGGACCCAGCAUUCUUCAAGGAAAGAAACCUCGCUACAUACGCUGUGGGAAUGAUCGAGUCCAAAUCAUCUGAAAGCUCCCUUUCGGGGGCAAGGAUUCUGGACAGGCUCUUGGAACACGUGCUCGAUGCAGAGGUCAAAGCAAAGGAGGAGCUCUUAAAGCACGCUCUGGCAACAGAGGAGCAUGCGCUAGGAGUCACACCAGAGAAGCAGAAAGCGCUCACAGUCACAGCAGCGGACGCCGAGGAGCUCACAGCGCAGCUCAUCAGUUUGGCGUCCUCUAGCCAUGUACUCAAGAAACUUCUGCAGGCGCUGGAUUCCACAAGCCCGCACGGCGAGACCGUGAGGGGGGUUGCCGCCAACAUAGUGGCCCACCUUGCCGGCAGGACACCUCUGAUGCAAUUUCCACGAGUGAUCCAGCGCAUAGGCUCGCUGCUCGACAUCCCUCGGCAGCAAUUUCAAGAAGACUACAGGAAACUCAUGGAGAAAGGCUUCGUUAUCCUUCUCAAGCUCGCUGCCGACGAGGACAAUUGCAGAGCCAUAAGCAACGCCCAGGGCGUGCUCUCCAGGAUCAUGGCGCCAGUGUGCUCCGACUUGCUCCACCUUCUCGACCACGACGCAUGGUGGUCCACCAUUGUAGCCGCUUCAUUGAAGGUCAUGUGCCGGCUCGUGGCUGGUCCGGGAGAGACUGGUGCCCAGCUGCGUAAGCAAAUAUCAAGGAACAAGGAAGCCAUCCACGGCAUGGAAGGGAUCCUCAAUUGUUGCCAAUGUGGUGAACAGCAGCUUCACAUAUUAAGCAUUGAGAUCCUGACGAAGCUACACAUGGACGAGGACUCUCUGAGCGGCGGUGUGAACAAGCAAAGCAGAGGAAAUUAUAUCGUCAUGCUUGCUUCCAUCUUCACUGACGCUAGCAAAGCCUGCUCCAUCAGAGAGUUGGCAGGUGAAGCCCUGGUGAAGCUAAGUCAAAGUGAAAAUGAUGCUGCUAUCAUCCUGAAGGCAAAUGAUUAUGUUGUCCAUGACCUCAGUAAUAUCCUCCUUUUACAUGCUGUGGACAACAACACAAAACGAAUUAUUGCAGCUAAAAUCCUGAAGCAUCUCUACAUUCAUUACAAAGAGAAUGAUGAGUAUCUCAACAUACUUACAAAAACCUUGGAGGAUGUAGUGCCAAAGGUUCUUCGAGAGAUACUACCUGUUUUGGGGUUGGAAGGGAAGGAGACACCAUUGGCAGAAAACGGAACAGAUAACAACAGUUAUCUUUUCCUAGGCACCCCUGACAUAGAAGCCCAACAAGUUGGUGCUGCGCAUGAUGACAACAGUAACAACAAAACAUUCCCUCGUCCGCAAAACGAUUCAAGGAAAGUGCAGGCAGCUUUAUUAUCUCUUGUUGCGGCGAUAUUUGACAAAUUGAUCAUCCAAGAUCGUAAUUUGGCUCAACUGAUUGAUAAAAUUUCUCCUGGAGAUUCUGCCUCUAGCUUUGGCAAUAAGCUCAAGGAGAUGGUGAUGGCACCGACAAAUAGCGAACCCAUGGAAAGUUGCCUGAGCAUAAUGAAGAACGCCAGCAAGAUGGUUAUAUCAAUGAUGAAACACAAUGACAGCUGCCUCAACGGAGAUUUCUUGAAGAUCUUUAUACAAUAUAUGUCCAAAGUUUGCAAGACCACGUUGUGUCUCGAGGGCUCUAUGAUUUUAGACAAAGCCAAUCAUGGCACAGUGAAGCCUUAUAGUACUCUCACUUCUCUGGUGAAAGAAGCACAGGAACUUCUCGUCACGAAGGAGCCAAAAGAGCGGUGA
rnacentral:rRNA from 1 species